UAAUUUACCUGGGUGGGGGGAUCUCGCGAUCAAGAAGGCGGGAGCCCAAUGGUGAGGCUCAUGCAUUGCAUUUUAGUAAGGGCAGACCUGUGUGGCAGCCUCGAGUUAAGGUUAGCCAACCUCUUACC
rnacentral:snRNA from 13 species